rnacentral:misc_RNA from 1 species
GGAAGGAUCAUUAACACGUAUCCAACGUAAAAAACCCCCCUGUGAACAUUCAGACCUGCUCUCGUAGCCCAGUGCGAUCCAGCAAUCCCGGUAAAUCAUUGUUAAACAGUAUUGAUUCGGGACUUCUGACAAAUGAGAAGUUACAGUUACGAUUUUGAGCGGUGAAAGCUGCAUGGCAUCCCCAGCAGUCAGUGUCUGAAAGUGUCAUUGAUUGUCGAUGGAGAUCUCGCCUCAACGAUUGCUAGAGGUCGCUCACCGACCGGCAGACAUGCAACCGGGUCCCCAUGCCCCUUUAUAACCCCAUUAACUCUGUGAGUCUACGGGAAUCCAGUAGGCUAAAAAAACUCGAACAACUGUUAACAAUGGAUAUCUUGGUUCUCGCAACGAUGAAGAACGCAGCGAAAUGCGAUACGUAAUGCGAAUUGCAGAAUUCAGUGAAUCAUCGAAUCUUUGAACGCAAAUUGCGCUCUCGGGUUACCCCCAAGAGCACACCUCUCUGAGUGUCGGUUUAACCAAAUGUCACCAAUUUAUUGGUGUACGACAGUCUGAGGGUAAGGAGCUUCGGCUUCUUUCCCUUUAAAUCUCAGCCUCACUACUGUGUGUGUUAGUGGCAAGUUGCUUUCACUUAAUUGUGAAUACAAUCCGCGGACCCUAUGUUGUGAAGCUUAAAAGAAACAAUGAAGAAGUUUGCUUUGACGUCAAAUAUGAUUUUAUGAAGUUUGACGGUGAAGUACGCUUCCGCAUCUAUGAAUUAGACCUCAGAUGAAGUGGGAAGACCCCCUGAAUUUAAGCAUAUUAUUAAGGGGAGGAAAAGAAACUAACAAGGAUUCCCCUAGUAACGGCGAGUGAAGCGGGAAAAGCUCAAAUUUAAAAUCCACUGGUCUAACAGCCUGUGGAGUUGUAAUCUAGAGAGGCUCUCUCAGUGCCAGCCUGGUUAUAAGUCCCUUGAAACGGGGCAUCAAAGAGGGUGAGAAUCCCGUAUUUGAGCCGGAGCUAAGUACGUACGAGGAGCUUUCCAAGAGUCGCGUUGCUUGGGAGUGCAGCGCUAAAUGGGUGGUAAAGUUCAUCUAAAGCUAAAUACUGGCGAGAGACCGAUAGCGAACAAGUACCGUGAGGGAAAGAUGAAAAGAACUUUGAAAAGAGAGUUAAAAAGUACUUGAAAUUGUUAACAGGGAAGGGGAGUCAACCAGUCAUUUCUAAGCUUCAUUCGCUUUUCCUUCGGGAGGGGUUACUUGAGGCUAAGAAGGGUCGGCGCCACUUAGUUGUCUUCGCAGAAACUGUGUGAGUUGGUGCGUUUCUUCGGAUUCGUUUAAUUCACACAAUCUACGUAGAUGCUGGGUGAGGAGUGAUAGCCCCCCACCUUCGGGUGUCGGUGCUCUGAGGUCUGUUUGCCCUAGCGCGUGAGAGAACAAAGUUCUGUCUGUGCGAAAGGUGAAUACUGCUUUGGAUGUGCCAGAUGGUGUGGCUCGCGGCGCGGACGAAAUGGUUGUCUUCCACCCGUCUUGAAACACGGACCAAGGAGUCUAACAUAUAUGCGAGUAUUUGGGUGACAAACCCUGAUGCGCAAUGAAAGUAAAGAGCUGCAAAGCUUGAGGUAGGAAUCUCGCCUUCGGGUGGGAGGCACUAUCGACCGAUCGUUCGCUUGCGGAAGAUUUGAGUAAUAGCAUAUCUGUUGGGACCCGAAAGAUGGUGAUCUAUGCCUGAACAGGGUGAAGCCAGGGGAAACUCUGGUGGAAGCUCGUAGCGAUACUGACGUGCAAAUCGUUCGUCUGAUUUGGGUAUAGGGGCGAAAGACUAAUCGAACCAUCUAGUAGCUGGUUCCCUC